rnacentral:rRNA from 1 species
AUUGAACGCUGGCGGCAUGCUUUACACAUGCAAGUAGAACGGUAACAGGGUGCUUGCACCGCUGACGAGUGGCGAACGGGUGAGUAAUGCAUCGGAACGUACCCCGUCGUGGUGGAUAACGUAGCGAAAGUUACGCUAAUACCGCAUACGUCCUGAGGGAGAAAGCGGGGGACCGUACGGCCUCGCGCGAUUGGAGCGGCCGAUGUCGGAUUAGCUAGGUGGUAGGGUAAAGGCCUACCAAGGCGACGAUCCGUAGCGGGUCUGAGAGGAUGAUCCGCCACACUGGGACUGAGACACGGCCCAGACUCCUACGGGAGGCAGCAGUGGGGAAUUUUGGACAAUGGGCGAAAGCCUGAUCCAGCCAUGCCGCGUGAGUGAAGAAGGCCUUCGGGUUGUAAAGCUCUUUCAACCGGAAAGAAAUCGCGCAGGAUAAUACUCUGCGUGGAUGACGGUACCGGAAGAAGAAGCACCGGCUAACUACGUGCCAGCAGCCGCCGUAAAAC